GACGAACGCUGGCGGCGUGCUUAACACAUGCAAGUCGAACGGAAAGGCCCUGCUUUUGUGGGGUGCUCGAGUGGCGAACGGGUGAGUAACACGUGAGUAGCCUGCCCUUGACUUUGGGAUAACUUCAGGAAACUGGGGCUAAUACCGGAUAGGAGCUCCUGCUGCAUGGUGGGGGUUGGAGAGUUUCGGCGGUUGGGGAUGGACUCGCGGCUUAUCAGCUUGUUGGUGGGGUAGUGGCUUACCAAGGCUUUGACGGGUAGCCGGCCUGAGAGGGUGACCGGCCACAUUGGGACUGAGAUACGGCCCAGACUCCUACGGGAGGCAGCAGUGGGGAAUAUUGCACAAUGGGCGGAAGCCUGAUGCAGCAACGCCGCGUGCGGGAUGACGGCCUUCGGGUUGUAAACCGCUUUCGCCUGUGACGAAGCGUGAGUGACGGUAAUGGGUAAAGAAGCACCGGCUAACUACGUGCCAGCAGCCGCGGUGAUACGUAGGGUGCGAGCGUUGUCCGGAUUUAUUGGGCGUAAAGGGCUCGUAGGUGGUUGAUCGCGUCGGAAGUGUAAUCUUGGGGCUUAACCCUGAGCGUGCUUUCGAUACGGGUUGACUUGAGGAAGGUAGGGGAGAAUGGAAUUCCUGGUGGAGCGGUGGAAUGCGCAGAUAUCAGGAGGAACACCAGUGGCGAAGGCGGUUCUCUGGGCCUUUCCUGACGCUGAGGAGCGAAAGCGUGGGGAGCGAACAGGCUUAGAUACCCUGGUAGUCCACGCUGUAAACGGUGGGUACUAGGUGUGGGGUCCAUUCCACGGGUUCCGUGCCGUAGCUAACGCUUUAAGUACCCCGCCUGGGGAGUACGGCCGCAAGGCUAAAACUCAAAGGAAUUGACGGGGCCCCGCACAAGCGGCGGAGCAUGCGGAUUAAUUCGAUGCAACGCGUAGAACCUUACCUGGGUUUGACAUGGAUCGGGAGUGCUCAGAGAUGGGUGUGCCUCUUUUGGGGUCGGUUCACAGGUGGUGCAUGGCUGUCGUCAGCUCGUGUCGUGAGAUGUUGGGUUAAGUCCCGCAACGAGCGCAACCCUUGUUCACUGUUGCCAGCACGUUAUGGUGGGGACUCAGUGGAGACCGCCGGGGUCAACUCGGAGGAAGGUGGGGAUGACGUCAAGUCAUCAUGCCCCUUAUGUCCAGGGCUUCACGCAUGCUACAAUGGCUGGUACAGAGAGUGGCGAGCCUGUGAGGGUGAGCGAAUCUCGGAAAGCCGGUCUCAGUUCGGAUUGGGGUCUGCAACUCGACCUCAUGAAGUCGGAGUCGCUAGUAAUCGCAGAUCAGCAACGCUGCGGUGAAUACGUUCCCGGGGCU
rnacentral:rRNA from 1 species